rnacentral:misc_RNA from 1 species
GAUGAAGAACGCAGCGAGAUGCGAUAAGUAAUGUGAAUUGCAGAAUUCAGUGAAUCAUCGAAUCUUUGAACGCACAUUGCGCCCAUUAGUAUUCUAGUGGGCAUGCCUGUUCGAGCGUCAUUAAGUCCACUUAAGCCUAGCUUAGUGUUGGGAGACUGCUCCAGUGGUGCUACCCUGUAGCUACCCUGCAGCUCCUUAAAGACAGCGGCGGAGUCGUGUUAUCCUCUGAGCUUAGUAAAUCAUUCUAGCUUUCGAGAGUAUCACUUCACCUGCCGUUAAACCACCUAAUUUUUAUGGUUGACCUCGGAUCAGGUAGGAAUACCCGCUGAACUUAAGCAUAUCAAUAAGCGGAGGA